rnacentral:rRNA from 1 species
UACGUAGGGUGCGAGCGUUGUCCGGAAUUACUGGGCGUAAAGAGCUCGUAGGUGGUUUGUCGCGUUGUUCGUGAAAACUCACAACUCAAUUGUGGGCGUGCGGGCGAUACGGGCAGACUGGAGUACUGCAGGGGAGACUGGAAUUCCUGGUGUAGCGGUGGAAUGCGCAGAUAUCAGGAGGAACACCGGUGGCGAAGGCGGGUCUCUGGGACGGUACUGACGCUGAGGCGCGAAAGCGUGGGGAGCGAACAGG